GACGAACCGUGCAAACGUUGUUCGGAUUCACUGGGCUUAAAGGGCGCGUAGGCGGGCGGUCAAGUCGGGGGUGAAAUCUUUCAGCUUAACUGGAAAAGUGCCUCCGAUACUGAUCGUCUUGAGGGAGGUAGGGGCAUGUGGAACUUCCGGUGGAGCGGUGAAAUGCGUAGAUAUCGGAAGGAACGCCGGUGGCGAAAGCGACGUGCUGGACCUCUUCUGACGCUGAGGCGCGAAAGCUAGGGGGGAGCGAACGGGG
rnacentral:rRNA from 1 species